rnacentral:tRNA from 2 species
CCUUCGAUAGCUCAGUUGGUAGAGCGGGGGACUGUAGAUUUAUAAUUGUGAUCCCUGGGUCGCUGGUUCGAAUCCGGUUCGAAGGA